CCUACGGGAGGCUGCAGUGAGGAAUAUUGGUCAAUGGGCGCGAGCCUGAACCAGCCAAGUAGCGUGAAGGAUGACUGCCCUACGGGCUGUAAACUUCUUUUAUAAAGGAAUAAAGUGAGGCACGUGUGUCUUUUUGUUUGGACUUUAUUAAUUAAGAUCGGCUAAGUUCGUGCCAGCAGCCGCGGUACUACGGAGGAUCCGAGCGUUAUCCGGAUUGAUUGGGUUUAAAGGGAGCGUAGUUGGGUUGUUAAGUCAGUUGUGAAAGUUUGCGGCUCAACCGUAAAAUUGCAAUUGAUACUGGCAGCCUUGAGUACAGUUGAGGUAGGCGGAAUUCGUGGUGUAGCGGUGAAAUGCUUAGAUAUAACGAAGAACUCCGAUUGCGAAGGCAGCUUACUAAACUGCCACUGACAUUGAUGCUCGAAAGUGUGGGUAUCAAACAGGAUUAGAUACCCUGGUAGUC
rnacentral:rRNA from 1 species